UAUUUGUAUUUUUUUUUUCCUUUUCUUUUCCUUAUCUGUUUCAGCUUGGUUUGUUUUGCCAGAGAAGUGAAAAUUUUGCUCAUUGUCGGAGGUUCUGUUUGUUCCUAUAGAAAAUUUGGGAGUUUCCCGGGAAAAAUUUUCGUUCUUUGAAGAAGGGUCUUUUUGUUUUGUUUUGUUUUUUUUAAAAUAAAAAUAAAAAUUCAGUGCCACUGUGUUGUAAGUUAAAUUUUGAAUUUUGGUUUGUUUCUAUAUUUAGGCUGCUUUUGUUAUCCGAGAAAAGUAUGGGCAUUUUCUCGGGAAAAUGGCAAAUUUUGUGUGUUUUCCCCUCUGUCGGGGUUUGGUUUGUUUGGUAGCAGAAGUGGAAAAUUUUCCGGGAAAGUUUCUCCUGAAAAAUGUUAGUAACUUCUCGGAAAGUUUUCUCUUUAGAAGGAAAUUGGCGUCGUCUGUUCUUGUUCCAACUGAGUGCCACUGUGUUGAAUUUUGAAUUUCGUCCCUUUCUCUGUUUCUUUUCCAUUUGUUUUGCUAGAAAAACAUAGAGCUUUUUUCUAUAGAAAAUUUGGGCAUUUUCAGGGAAAUAUUUUGUUUUGAAACCGUAUUGGUUUUUCUAGUCUUGAGAUUGAGUUUCACAUUGUUGAAUUUUAAAUUUUUGUUGUAUCUCUGUUUUAGGCUCGCUUGCUUUGCUAGAAAAGUGGAACAAGUUUCUAGGGAAGCUUCAAUGGAAAAUUUAGUCUAGUCCUGAAAGAGGUCCCUUUUCUUUGGAGAAGGUUUUGGAUUUGAAAUUGGCUCUCGUUUUUUCCAGACUUUUCUGUGUUAGGCAUGAUUUAUUUCCCUGAAAAGCAGAAGAAUUUUUCUGGAAAAGUUUCAACAGAAAUUUUGGGAGGAAAACUCUUUGUUGGAAGAAAAAUAGAAAAUUUUCUCGGAAGGUUUCUUGAAUGCUUUGAAUUCAAACUUUAAUAUUUUCACAGGUUUGUUUUCAGUGUUUGCUUUCUAAUUCUCUGUCACAUUGUGUGGCAGUAAGUUCAGUUUUCUUUCAAAUCCUACUAUGACUGUUUGCUUGUUGAGAAAAUUCAGGGCAAAGAAGAAAACUUGGAUUUUGUUGGAUUGUUUUAUGUUGUAAGUUUCAAUGUCAUUAUUUUUUUUUUUUCUAGUUGAACUGACUGUGAAGCAUUGAACUUAAAAUUAACUAUUUACUGCAAGAUUGCACCACAAGAAUUGAUAGGGAAAAAAAGUUUUGAAUUCAGGAUAGUGGAUUAACUGAGGACCUUUUCUAUGUUCCAACUUUUAAUUUAUUUUCGUGUGAUUUCUCAACAAUCAAAUAGGGGAAUUAGUUAAUAUUAACAAUACGUUAUGGUGCACUGAAUGCAAGUGCCUUGUACUUGUUCGGGCCAGUUUAUGGUGCAUAUUGUUGUUCAUUGCCCCAUCUAUGUUCGCUUCAGUGUGGGAGUCUAUUGUGGGAAUGUUUGAGUCUGAAAACUGUUGAUGGCAUGGGCAUCCUGCUAUUCAUCUAAAGUGAGGAAGCUGACUUUAAGUAACACCUGUCGAUACUCUUACUACAUGUUUCAUUUCACUUGUCAGAAUCCCUUUCUCAAUAGCAGAGAGAUUUGAGAAUGCAUAAAGGAACUUCCCAUGGAUUGCCAAGGUGGAGGAGUUGAAGUAUCAUCUGAUAAGCUGGGACAAUUUGCACUUCUGUACAAAGACAGGGAUUUGGAAAUUUAAUUGAUCAUAAAUCUAAAUUUGAAAUUGGUGGAUAAGUACUGUUAGGGAAGUUGGAGUGGAUAAUGAAAGUUGAAGAUUACAGUAGUGGCAUUAAAUGAGUGCAGUGGCAAUUAAAUGGAGAAUAGGUGUGUUUUUCUCCGAUAUGAUUGUAGGCUUUGGAGGGAGGUUUCCCUACAAUGGGGCAUCCUUUUAGUAACACUACUGUGUAAAGAUGGGUAGUGAGCAUCAAAUCAGGCUUCAAGAGGAUGUAUGGUGUGAUAAUAUCACUCACCCUUCAGCUGAAUUCACUAGCAAUUGGAUCAGAUGAAAAUGCUGCAAAAAUAAUCUUAGUGGCACUGGUGGAAUGUCUCAUUUCAAAGAAACUGGAAGGUUCAUUCUUAUGUGUAUCCUAGGGAGGUUUAUGACUUGGGAUGACAUGAAGUCUGUUACAAAACCUAGCAUUGAGGGUUUUUAGCCAAUUCUUUCCAUAUGUCUUUAGCUGUGAAUGAUGAUGUCAUGUUUUCCUUCAAUGGUUUUUGGUGACCAUGAUUCCUUUCAAGUUUUUCCCCUUCCUUUUUUUCUGGUUAGCAGUUAAUAAUAAUUUAGACUGUGGAUAACUUAGUUGAGAAAUCAGAUGGUUCCUACUUGGUGUGUUCUAUGCAAGUUUCAUCUAAAUCAGUCAAGCAUCUAUCUCUUACUCUAUCUUGUGAAGUUUUUCAAGGAAAUUUGAGCUUCAUUGCGUUAUGUCUCCAUCUUUAAUAAUGGUUAUGAAACCAUGGUCUGGAAGAUCAAUGGGAAUGUGGGAUAGGAUCAUCUGGAAGAAUCACUUUUUGUCAAAAAUUCUGUGGGCCAUAUGGAUGAAGAAACUGAAAAAAAAAA